rnacentral:rRNA from 1 species
GAUGAACGCUAGCGACAGGCCUAACACAUGCAAGUCGAGGGGCAGCAUUUCUAGCUUGCUAGAAGAUGGCGACCGGCGCACGGGUGAGUAACGCGUAUGCAACCUACCUUAUACUGGGGGAUAGCCCAGAGAAAUUUGGAUUAAUACCUCAUAAUAUUUUUAACUCGCAUGAGUUUUAAAUUAAAACUUCGGUGGUAAAAGAUGGGCAUGCGUUCUAUUAGUUUGUUGGUGAGGUAACGGCUUACCAAGACUACGAUAGAUAGGGGUUCUGAGAGGAUAGUCCCCCACACUGGUACUGAGACACGGACCAG